CCCAUCCGCUCGGGCGCCGUGCUCGUCUUGCGGAACGUGCAAAAGGGUCAACCCUUCUCGUCAAGCCCGCGCGCCCACUCCGCCUCGUCUCCUCCCUGCUCCCAUCUCUCCCAUGUCGCCGCCCUCGAUCCCGCACCCCCUCCACCUCGUCUCGUCACUCCUCUCCAAGGCCGCCGUCCUCGAUGCGCCGUAAGGGAUGCCAUCGACACGUCGGGGAUACGCAGCGAUGGAACUCAACCGGAGUCCGGGAGAAACCCACUCCUAACCCUAUUCGCUCGAUUGACGAGCAGGGCAGUGGAUUGGAUCGAGGGCGCCCGCAUGGCCUCGCCGCUGCUGCCACCUGAAUUCCCUAGCCUCCACGUGGAGUCGCCCUGGCCGCCACCUCGAGUCACCUCCGUCGCCGCAGCGAGUUAGCUCCACCGUUGCCGCCAGGAUUCCCGUCCGGCAAGGAAAUAGCAUUCUUUGACGUGACUAGAACAGGAAAGCUCUUAAGGAGGCUUUCUAAAGAUACCCAAAUUAUAAAGAAUGCCGCUACAACAAACCUUUCAGAAGCAAUACGUAAUCUGACUACCACAGCUAUUGGUCUUGGCUUUAUGUUUUCAACUUCAUGGAAGCUAACAUAUCCUUUGCAGAUCAAUUGUCGAGGCAGAAUGCUAGGUGGCUCACGCUAAGCAUCGUUUCACAUUCACGUAAGGCUCUUUGUUUGCAACCAGUUUUGCACCCACUACACAUGGGGUUUGAUCUAAAUGUAUCAGAAAGAUGGUCUCGUUGAGAAACAUUUGGUAGAUAACUUUUUUGACCUGGGUAGAUAACUUUUAUUAUUCAAGAUGCAACAUGUUGUUUUGAUGUAUUUUGUUACGAUAUUUCUCUCAAUGUUUUGUGUACUGAACCAAAGACAAACACUUUUACUGGUGAUGUUGGGGCUUUUUUAACUGAGAUGUGAAAGAUGCAUCUUAUCCCCUGAGAAAUAUUGCCUUUCAUUUGUUGAUUUGUUUCCUGACAUGCUAAUUUAGAGCUAGAUAUGCAUGAUUCAUCACACACAUUACAGUCAAUUAUCCAUUGGAGUCUUUUGUCCAUAGAGGUGAUUUUGUUUGGACCACUGGUCUAGGUAGUGAUAUUUUGAUCGAUAAGGCACAAGUUUAUUUUCUUUUUCACUCAGGGCUACACUAAAGUAAGCAUCACCGUCAGUGAAAAUAAGGCAUAAAAAUCAAGAAGUUUUUGCCUUGGUUGUGCGCCGCAUUUAGUUGUCACUUAUUUAUUUCUAUGAAGUUAUUCAAUUCUCACCGAGCUUUCCUUAUGCUUUCAAUUGCUAAAUAAGAAAUUUAAUAUGCAAUAUUUUUAAUGUCUGAGGAGGCGAGAGGAGAAGAAAAGGGUCUGUAAGGUCGGACUUAGGUGCAUCUCUGGCCAGAGAUGGCUGGAUCCAUCCGACGCUCUUCCAAACAGAGCGUGAAGAUUUGCUGACUGGUACAAUAUUUAAACCUUGUCUACUCUAGUUUCUUUUUACAUCUCUUAGUAUCAACAAAUUAGUUAGUUACAAUAUAUACUUGAAGAUUGCAGCAGGCACAAAAUGUUUGGCUGACCACCCGGUUAAGUGAGUUGUCCCUAUGAAGGGUCAGUAGAGUAGUUGCUUCUUUUAAAUAAAAAAUGAGGAUCAGUUUGGUUGCCACGUGACGGUAAGGCCAGAAUGGUGGUACGAAAAUUGGUUCUGUAUAAUGGUAAUAUGUGUUGUGGAGUUGGAGCUCGAUUUUUUUGAAGUUGGAGUGGCUAUGUUGUCUAUACAUAUAUGCCGCCCACUAAAUUCAGAUUUCAGUAUACUGUUUAGAAUAGGUGUGGAUCAUUGUGUUGUGUUCAGAAUAGAGCUAGAGAGAAGGGAAGAGUUGCCACCGUAACAUUUAUUUGUACUACAUUGUCCCACUGUCAAUUUUCUUAAAGUACAUUACACUCUUCUUCUUCGAAGAAUAGAUUGAUGCUCUCUACCUCAGGUUUAACAAUGCAUGUAGGUUGGCCGGUGUACUAAUUUUGAUGCUUCUUGAUCAGUGUUUGGAAGCCAUGGGCUUUUGUGUAUUUGCAUAAGCUUCCUUUGUUUUUAUUAUUUUCUCUCUUUAGUGUUCCUUUGUGUUCCUUUGUAACUGUCUGAUGCUAUGCCUUGGGCGGCCCCUCUGUCUUGGUUUACAGCUCCAUAUGGCUAGCUAUGCAUACAUAUGUAAGUUUUCUUUGGACUGUACUCAAAUCGUGCAGAUGUUUCCAUAUUCAUGCAUUCCUCUUUUUAACUCGUGAUUGUUAGAUAGUUGAAUAUCAUUGGUUUCUGUCGGUGUUCGGUUUUUGCAGUUUGAAAUAGGUAUUGGUCCUCUGAUAUUAAACUUCACAAUAGGUAGUGGCAUCUUCAGGAAAAAGUAGUGGCAGAUAUGCUGGACACUUCUUUUCCGUUGAAGAAAUGAUGCUAUUGACUUGAGUGCUCAACACAUAUUUUUCAGUAAUGGAGAGGAUUAUUCACCUUUGCCACUGCAGGAGUUAAGACCUGGUGGAGCCAGGCCAACGGGCACUAUCAGUGUUAAAAACCCUGCCCUGAUGAGCUUCUUUGUGCCCGGAACAAGACUAUUAGGGGCACCUUAAGCGAGUACUCGAGAGCUCAAGGCAUGCAGUCAAGUCGUACAAGGAGUGCGACCAGACCAACUUUCCUGUUCGUGUGACAGCAAAGUAGAACCCAUAGGAUGGACACUGAUGUAUGUAAUGGGUUAUCUGCAGUAUAUCUCAAUUUUUUAUGUGAUAUGUCAUGUAUAUAUAUGCUAAAGGUGAGCUUUAAUCAACCUGCAGCGUAUCUCAAUUUUGUAUGUGAUAUAUCAUGUAUGUAUAUGCUAAAAUUUUGCUUUUAUCAACCUCUGCGAUAUUUGAAUUUUCAAAA